GGUAGGCUAGGGUAAGCUAUGAAGUUUGAUGAGGAAAUGAAAUUUCAAAGGGAUCAAAUAUACUUCCCAGGAUAGCUAUGCUAGAAGAGACAGAAACUGUGCCCAGCCCUCUUUAUGUACGCCACGUCCUUCCAUCAUACCUAGGCGUGACCCUUGAAUGGAUCCAUCAGGAGUGAAGGGUUUCAGUAACUGAAGACAGAAAGAUCAACCUGAGUAAAUCCACAUGGGGUGAGAAGGCAUUGCAAACUUGGCGAACUUUUAGAAGGAGGUUGGAACAUCAAACACGAGAAUCAUCCACUCCCCAACUUGUCUACACUGCAGCAUAUGGUACUCCACUGAACUCAAAAGGAAUAAAGAAAGAAUUUUUAAAAUCCUACAAAAUGGAAUAAAUCUCUCUGAAGACAGAUCGUAACAAAGACAAAAUCUGUUGAAGUUGCCAUUCUCAAAAAUACAUUCCUCAGAAAUAAAAAUGCC
rnacentral:lncRNA from 1 species